rnacentral:Y_RNA from 1 species
GGCUAGUCCGAGUGCAGUGGUAUUUACAACAAAUUGAUCACAACUGGUUACAGAUUUCUUUGUUUCUUUUCUACUUCCACUGCUUCACUUGAUUAAUCUUUA